rnacentral:piRNA from 1 species
CAGGACCACAGAGGUGGCUCUGCCUGCAGC